rnacentral:rRNA from 1 species
AUUGAACGCUGGCGGCAUGCUUUACACAUGCAAGUCGAACGAUAACAGGCCUUCGGGUGCUGACGAGUGGCGCACGGGUGAGUAAUGCAUCGGAACGUACCCAGAGGUGGGGGAUAACGCAGCGAAAGCUGUGCUAAUACCGCAUGUGAUCUGAGGAUGAAAGCGGGGGACCGAGCAGCAAUGUUUGGCCUCGCGCCUUUGGAGCGGCCGAUGUCGGAUUAGCUAGUUGGUGGGGUAAAGGCCUACCAAGGCGACGAUCCGUAGCUGGUCUGAGAGGACGACCAGCCACACUGGGACUGAGACACGGCCCAGACUCCUACGGGAGGCAGCAGUGGGGAAUUUUGGACAAUGGGCGCGAGCCUGAUCCAGCAAUGCCGCGUGCGGGAAGAAGGCCUUCGGGUUGUAAACCGCUUUUGGCAGGAACGAAACGGUGUCCGCUAAUACCGGGCGCUAAUGACGGUACCUGCAGAAUAAGCACCGGCUAACUACGUG